rnacentral:rRNA from 1 species
UACGGGGGGAGCAAGCGUUGUUCGGAUUUACUGGGCGUAAAGGGCGCGUAGGCGGCGCAACAAGUCACUUGUGAAAUCUCCGGGCUUAACCCGGAGCGGCCAAGUGAUACUGUCGUGCUAGAGUGCGGAAGGGGCUACUGGAAUUCUCGGUGUAGCGGUGAAAUGCGUAGAUAUCAAGAGGAACACCUGCGGCGAAGGCGGGUUGCUGGGCCGACACUGACGCUGAAGUGCGAAAGCUAGGGGAGCGAACGGG